rnacentral:lncRNA from 10 species
GUUUUAGGGAAAGGGUGGUUAUUCUCCAUGAAUCUAACUAAUUAGGCUUCUUGCAUGGAUGGAGAGUUUUAGGGGGUUGGUGGGUUAGAAAGCAGUGUGACUUGGCAACUGCCAAGGGACUAGGGGACGAAACCACUAAGAGGACUGCUGGUCUGGCUGGCAAAGGCAGUGGAGUUGGGAGUCAAAUAUGGCGAGGUGACAGGACAGGUCUGUGAUAGACAACCGCCCAGCAGAAGCACUUGGACUCAGGUGAAUGGAGGCUGUUCUUUGGAAGCGAUGAAAAGCAACUUUGGCAAAAUGAAAUGAUUUCAAGUUCAAGAACUUCACAGGGGAGUGUGGAAGAAAGCUCCUGUGAUUGAGUGUGGGUUUGGGAAAGAAUAGAGAGGAGUCAAGUCUGAGAAAAGAGCCACUGUAGUGACUUAGGGCACUUCUACAAUCAUGAACCAAAAGGACACAGGAGUGCUGCCCAGACAGCAGGGGACACAUCUGGUCAGUUUCAGGAAAUUCAGGAAAAUCUGGAAGAAGAAACCGAGGCAUACAUUACCAACACUGCAUAACUCAGAGUUCACAAAUGGCAAAGUGGGAUGGCUCUUGAGAACUAUGUCAUCCAGGAAUUCUCAAUGAUUUCUUGCAGUCCACAAUAAAUAUUGGAACAUGGUGUUACCUUAGCUCUUCUGUUAAUAAACCCUGCAAUGUAACUUUUUCCAUAUUUUAAAUAUUUCUAGGAGGGCUAGAAGAGGAGAAUAUAACACAUACCAUGCAGUAUUCCAUAGAACUAGUUAAUGUGGAGAGUUACUGAAAAAAUGUAAUGAGUGAAAUAAUAUUACUUUUAUUUAUUUAAUGCAAAAAAUAAACUACCCAUCAGUUACUCAUUGAAUUAGAAUAUACCUAAUGUUACCCUCCUGAGAAUUGUUGGAUCCACUUGGAGGAUUCAGUCCUUGAGUUUGACACACAGUGUUUUGGACCAUUUGCAUUUCUUCAUCCCACACAUGUAGACUCCCAGGAGGUCAGGUUUUCAGAAGGAGAAGAUGAGGAGGCGCAGGCAUUGUAUCACUCACUACUUCCUUUAAUUCAAAUGCACUCCAUGUCUCCUUAGAUUGGAUGCUUCAGUGACACUUUUAUCAGCUUAAGUAUGCAUGGUCUCUUAGCUUUCUGGCACUAAACAGAGAGAAAUAUUUAGAAAAAAGUGAGUAUUUUCUUGGAAGUUCUACUUGUAUAUGAUGGAGUAGGUAGAUGAAGAGAAUUACAUUGGAUUCCUGUAGCUGGAAUAGAGAUGCAUUAUCACUUGUUUGGCGAUUCUAGUUCUUCUCAGACAUAGUUCAUACAUUGAAAUAAAAACGCUUCCAGUUGAUUGUCUAAGAUAUACAUAUACACAUGUCUAUGUAUGCAUAUACAAACACACACAAAUACAUACGCUAAUAUGUGUGCAUGUCUGUAUGCUAAUGAAAAGCCAACAGUUUCUAAGUAAUUACUAGCUAAUUCAUAGCUAAAAUAUUGCUGUCCCCCUUUUUAUGUUUUGUAAUGCUUAGUAACCACGUGACAGGUACUGUAUACAGAAAGGUUAUGCAGCAUGCUUCAUUCUGUAGUUGUGAUAGGGACUCAGUAAAGUUAUAGAAUGACAAUGUAAGAAUAAUGAGAGCUGAAAAUGCCGCUGUCCAUUCAAAGCACGAUUGUCAGACUGGAAUGUCUUGAGUUGGUGUGUCGUUCUUUAAAAUUUUAGGAAAGCGUUAGGAAUCAUUUUAAUGAUUAAUUCAUGGUAAAGUAGCAAACAUUCUCCUAUUCCUGGUUCUCUCAAAGGUCAUUUGUCAAUCUAUUUUUAUUUUAAAAUAAUGUGUGUGCAGCAUAUACUUCAUUAGGAAGGACAUUCAGAGAGUUUUCUAGAUGAGAAUAAAAUGAAUUCAGGCAUUUGUUCCGAACGAGGCCAGAUGUUUUCCCAGGAGUCUUGCAUUCCUAACCACAAGCCAGUGUCUGCCAGAUUUGAGUGUUAGGUCUCAAAAACUAAACACCCUGGGCUUAAUGCAAAUUAAGUUAGAAUGAGAAAAGUAAUUAUCCAGGACUUACAAUGGCCAAGUAAAGAAAUGAGAUGACUGCCCUUCAUACAAGGAGGUGCUGCUGAUCUGCUAUUAACAAGGUAAGUUCCCUGAGAUAUUUUCUUGAGUUGUAGUCACGAGGGACAGUUCUGAACUAGCUGUGUCUUCUCAGGCUUCCCGUUCCCCUUUUCCUAAAGGUACACUUGAGAAAACAGCUGGAUGAGCUUAAGGAAUAACUUCCUCUACAAAAACUGCCUAACAGGAGAUGUGGCUUAGUGCAUCUACAAAAAUAAGCAUCGGCCUAUGUGCUGAAAAUAGUUCUGCUAGGUGGGAGGGCAGGUGGAGGCCACGCUGAUAAAAUAUAGGGCAAUCUUGGUCAAACAAAUCAUGUAUUGGGCCGAAAACAUUUUCUGCUUCUGACUUUUUUGUUUGUUUGUUUCCAUAGGAAUUUGGCAGGGAAGGGAGACUGACGAGAGGGAAGCUGAUGAUAUAGUGCAUUUGCUUAAUGUUGAUCACUUAUUUAUCAGAACAAGUACUGAUCUCACAUCCUGAAGAUUUACUGCACAGUUGAACAGGGCGGAGGAGACUCAAGCGCGUUCUGGUGGGAAUCCAUAAUGAUGCUGAAAUCUGAGGCUGGAUCUAAUUCCCAUGUAAAUCAAGCUUGCUCUGGAUGUUUCUUUUUGUGCAGUGGGGGACAUGGUUUUGUUUGGGUUAUAUUUGAACCGCACUGUAUCAUAAUAAAAAGCCAGAAUUAAACUUCAUUUGCAAGAAGGCAUUCAUUCUCAGACUCAGGUAUAGAAUUUUAGAGCUGGAAAAGAUAUCUGGUUGAAUGUCUGAGUUUAUAAAUAGAAAACUAAGGGACUUGCCCAAGGUCACACAGCCAUGAGCAUCCCUCCCCAGAUGAUAACACAAUAGCUUUUAGUACCUUGGGAGACAUUAUCUUUUACGCAGACUCUGAAAAGUAUCCAUUUUGAAAGAGAGAAGCUUUUUUUGGCUUUAAUCUUCACUUGAACAGUUUCUCUAAUGCCUGUUUUUUUCUUGAACAACCGUGAACACA